rnacentral:lncRNA from 1 species
AUCUCAAAAUCGCUCAUGUUAUUGCUCCAAGCCGAUUCCAGAACCGCAUUAAAACCAGCUUUCUCUUGCUAAAGUCUUCAAAUGGCCGUUUUGGUUUGGUACUUUUUGUCUUCAAACAUCCGCUGAUUGAUUAUUUUUCACGUUAAAGGUGUUAUUUUCAGGCAUAAAAAGAUAUGAUAUCGCGGCAAGUUCUAAAAGAUAAAUGCUAUCGCAACAAGUUGAAACUGUUGUGUGCAAUGACGGUGGCUUGAAAGGUUUGAGCUAGAUUUUCAGGUUAAAACAAAGGCUUUAAAGCAUGAUAAAUAUGUUUAUGUGUUGAUAUAGAGCGGUAUAUUCGCGAGGCUAUUAUUUUUAUAUACGCGAUUUUCACUUAAUAAGCACACAUUCAAGACACAAGCGUAAUAAUUACUUUUUGCUUAACGCAAAUUUUAAAAAUCUCGAAAAGAUUACCUACGCAAAAUCAACGCAGUAUAUAGCUUUAGUAUUCAAUUUUCAAAUUAGCUUUUUUUCUCAAUCAUAAUAAAUAAGAUAGCUAACGGUGUUUUUUAUUUGCAGAUUCAAACGCAGAAUGGCUGAUGAAGGUAGGACAAACGUGUGCAGCCAGAGUGGCAAGGCUUUCCGCCAGAGGCGAAAUUUGCAUACGCUCGAGAAAAGUCACACAGAAACGUUUCCCUAGGGGUUUCAGCUCUCGAUAGGCAUUGAGGAAGAGAGCAUAAGUUCACACUUAAACGUUCACGACAGGAGAGGGAACAAUCCUCGCACUUUUAGUUCUGACAUUUCCGGCUAUCUGGUGAUGACCCGUUACGAACUCACCGAGCACAUGCGGAGUCAUGAAGACAACCGGAGUCUGCCUGCAUACAAUGUGGUGCAUUGAAUAAGCACAGGCCAUUCCUGAAUCGGGAUAUAAGGCAACGUCGCAGGAAUGUUUGUGUAAUUUAAACCAGUGAAUACUUUGAAAAAUUGAUGAAGACAUGUUGAUCUUAAUUUUUUGUGGUACAUUCUGGUCAUUGUG